CCUGAGAAACCCAAAAGAUCGAAUGGGGAGAUUCAUCGUCAGCGUAUUUGAUAUAUGUAUGAGUUAUGAUAUGAAUUAUCCUCUCACGGGGAUAUUAAUUUGUACAUACUUGUAUUAUUUUAUUGUCAAAUAUUGUCGGCGUGCACUUCUCCCCUAGUAGGACGUCGCGACCCGUUGAGUGUCGAUCUACGGCCCGAUUGGGUAGCCUUUGAUUGUAACAAAUUAAAGACCAGUUGGUGUUUUCUGAUCGACUGCUCGGCGGUACUCGUACGGUAUUGAGUCGCAUUUUAUAUGCGUUAACACCCGUCGCAAGCGCGGCCAGUCACCCGGUAGUGCGGACCUAGUGCCGUCGCUGGGCCUGGCCAGCUGUUGGCUGUUGCGGUGUUCUGUAACUGACUCUAAAUGAAAUUACCGGUCAGCGACGCUACUGCUUUGGGUACUUUCAGGACCCGUCUUGAAACACGGACCAAGGAGUCUAACAUGUGCGCGAGUCAUUGGGAUUAUUUUAUUAAAUUAAACCUAAAGGCGCAAUGAAAGUAAAGAUUGUCCUUGCGAUGAUUGAGGGAGGAUGAGCCGUGUUACGAUGCGGCUCCGCACUCCCGGGGCGUCUUAUUCUCAUUACGAGAAGAGGCGCACCCAG
rnacentral:rRNA from 1 species